rnacentral:rRNA from 1 species
UCUAACAUGUGCGCGAGUCAUUGGGUUNUUGACGAAAACCUAAAGGCGCAAUGAAAGUAAAGUAUUCGAUUACUUCGGUGGUCCGAGGGAAGAUGGAGUUUGUCAAGUUUGUUCUGAUCCUAUUCGGAGGUGAGGUCGGUCUUGGAAACUUGAUCCGAGUCAAUUUGGCAAAGGAUACUCCCGCACUCCCAGGGCGUCUCGUUCUCAYUGGGAGAUGAGGCGCACCUAGAGCGUACACGUUGGGACCCGAAAGAUGGUGAACUAUGCCCGGCCAGGACGAAGUCAGGGGAAACCCUGAUGGAGGUCCGAAGCGAUUCUGACGUGCAAAUCGAUCGUCGGAGCUAGGUAUAGGGGCGAAAGACUAA